rnacentral:rRNA from 1 species
GNCGAACGGAAAGGCCCCCUUUUUGUGGGGUGCUCGAGUGGCGAACGGGUGAGUAACACGUGAGUAACCUGCCCUUGACUUUGGGAUAACUUCAGGAAACUGGGGCUAAUACCGGAUAGGAGCUCCUGCUGCAUGGUGGGGGUUGGAAAGUUUCGGCGGUUGGGGAUGGACUCGCGGCUUAUCAGCUUGUUGGUGGGGUAGUGGCUUACCAAGGCUUUGACGGGUAGCCGGCCUGAGAGGGUGACCGGCCACAUUGGGACUGAGAUACGGCCCAGACUCCUACGGGAGGCAGCAGUGGGGAAUAUUGCACAAUGGGCGGAAGCCUGAUGCAGCAACGCCGCGUGCGGGAUGACGGCCUUCGGGUUGUAAACCGCUUUCGCCUGUGACGAAGCGUGAGUGACGGUAAUGGGUAAAGAAGCACCGGCUAACUACGUGCCAGCAGCCGCGGCGAUACGUAGGGUGCGAGCGUUGUCCGGAUUUAUUGGGCGUAAAGGGCUCGUAGGUGGUUGAUCCCGUCGGAAGUGUAAUCUUGGGGCUUAACCCUGAGCGUGCUUUCGAUACGGGUUGACUUGAGGAAGGUAGGCGAGAAUGGAAUUCCUGGCGGAGCGCUGGAAUGCGCAGAUAUCCAGGAGGAACACCAGUGGCGAGGGCGGUUCUCUGGGCCUUUCCUGACGCUGAGGAGCGAAAGCGUGGGGAGCGAACAGGCUUAGAUACCCUGGUAGUCCACGCUGUAAACGGUGGGUACUAGGUGUGGGGUCCAUUCCACGGGUUCCGUGCCGUAGCUAACGCUUUAAGUACCCCGCCUGGGGAGUACGGCCGCAAGGCUAAAACUCAAAGGAAUUGACGGGGCCCCGCACAAGCGGCGGAGCAUGCGGAUUAAUUCGAUGCAACGCGUAGAACCUUACCUGGGUUUGACAUGGAUCGGGAGUGCUCAGAGAUGGGUGUGCCUCUUUUGGGGUCGGUUCACAGGUGGUGCAUGGCUGUCGUCAGCUCGUGUCGUGAGAUGUUGGGUUAAGUCCCGCAACGAGCGCAACCCUUGUUCACUGUUGCCAGCACGUUAUGGUGGGGACUCAGUGGAGACCGCCGGGGUCAACUCGGAGGAAGGUGGGGAUGACGUCAAGUCAUCAUGCCCCUUAUGUCCAGGGCUUCACGCAUGCUACAAUGGCUGGUACAGAGAGUGGCGAGCCUGUGAGGGUGAGCGAAUCUCGGAAAGCCGGUCUCAGUUCGGAUUGGGGUCUGCAACUCGACCUCAUGAAGUCGGAGUCGCUAGUAAUCGCAGAUCAGCAACGCUGCGGUGAAUACGUUCCCGGGGCUUGUACACACCGCCCGUCAAGUCAUGAAAGUUGGUAACACCCGAAGCCGGUGGCCUAACCGUUGUGGGGGAGCCGUCGAAGGUGGGACUGGUGAUUAGGA